GACGAACGCUGGCGGCGUGCUUAACACAUGCAAGUCGAGCGGAGCGGCGAACGGGUGAGUAACGCGUGAGUAACUGCCCCCCUCUCUGGGAUAACAGUUGGAAACGGCUGCUAAUACCGGAUAGUGGGUGAUGUUUCGCGUCCUAUCAGCUUGUUGGUGGGGUAGUGGCCUACCACGGCGACGACGGGUAGCCGGCCGGAGAGGGGGACCGGCCCCAUUGGGCUCAGGUACGGCCCAAACUCCUACAGGAGGCAGCCGUGGGGAAUAUUGCGCAAUGGGGGAAACCCUGAUGCAGCAGCGCCGCGUGCGGGAUGUCGGCCUUCGGGUUGUAAACCGCUUGCAGCCAUGACGCGGUAGUGGCAGAAGAAGCACCGGCUAACUACGUGCCAGCAGCCGCGGUAAUUC
rnacentral:rRNA from 1 species